CGCGCGGAGCUUUCCGCGCGGUAAGGGUGAAACGGCGAGGUAAGAGCUCACCAGCAGGCUGGGCGACCAGCCUGGCUAGGCAAACCCCACCCGGAGCAAGGUCAAACAGGGAGCAGCGGAACCGGCCGGCGACAAGUUCGUCCGGUUCGGCCCGCGGGCUGGUUCCGGCCCGUUAUCGACUCCCGGGUAGACCGCUAGAGGGGCCGAGCAAUCGGCUUCCUAGAGAAAUGGCCAUCGCCCCGCGCGGCUCUUGCCGCACGGGGAGACAGAACCCGGCUUACAGGUCCGCUCUAAGC
rnacentral:RNase_P_RNA from 1 species